rnacentral:rRNA from 1 species
UACGGGAGGCAGCAGUGGGGAAUAUUGCACAAUGGGCGCAAGCCUGAUGCAGCGACGCCGCGUGAGGGAUGACGGCCUUCGGGUUGUAAACCUCUUUCAGUAGGGAAGAAGCGAAAGUGACGGUACCUGCAGAAGAAGCACCGGCUAACUACGUGCCAGCAGCCGCGGUAAUACGUAGGGUGCGAGCGUUAUCCGGAAUUAUUGGGCGUAAAGAGCUCGUAGGCGGUUUGUCGCGUCUGUCGUGAAAGUCCGGGGCUUAACCCCGGAUCUGCGGUGGGUACGGGCAGACUAGAGUGCAGUAGGGGAGACUGGAAUUCCUGGUGUAGCGGUGGAAUGCGCAGAUAUCAGGAGGAACACCGAUGGCGAAGGCAGGUCUCUGGGCUGUAACUGACGCUGAGGAGCGAAAGCAUGGGGAGCGAACAGGAUUAGAUACCCUGGUAGUCCAUGCCGUAAACGUUGGGCACUAGGUGUGGGGACCAUUCCACGGUUUCCGCGCCGCAGCUAACGCAUUAAGUGCCCCGCCUGGGGAGUACGGCCGCAAGGCUAAAACUCAAAGGAAUUGACGGGGGCCCGCACAAGCGGCGGAGCAUGCGGAUUAAUUCGAUGCAACGCGAAGAACCUUACCAAGGCUUGACAUGUUCUCGAUCGCCGUAGAGAUACGGUUUCCCCUUUGGGGCGGGUUCACAGGUGGUGCA